GUUUUUCCCUCCCUCUAACCCAUCGUUCUCCUCAUUCCAAAACCUAAAAAAAAAAUUCUUGACACAGACGCUAAACCUUCACUUUUGUAAUCCUUCAAACCCUAAUUAAACCUUCACUUUUAUGAAAAUUAGCUCGAACCCAUUUUAGUCGACAAUUGAAAGCUGCAAAAGUUAUUGGGAAAUGAGUUCUCUCACUGUGUUUUAAAUAGCGUCUUCAGGCUGAAAUGGGUAAAAGAAAACGAGCACACAAUCGUUUUGGCAGAGGAGACCCAAAAUUUCUCACUAAUUAUAGAUUUCCAUUUCUACGUCGUUAGGGACUCUCGAGAUUCGUCCUCUUCCCGCAAUCAACGCAACCACCGCAACUCCGGCCUCGUCCGCCGCUGUUACUGGUUCAACAUCGCCAUCGACUACUGAAGAUGACGCUGUUCUUUUUGUGAACACUGCUCUUGCUAAGGACUCUUCUUCGCAUUUCCAGUCUCGUCGUUUUGUUGAGUGUCUCGCCGUUUUGCAUCAGCUUAAGCAGAAGAAAGAAGACGAUCCAAAAUUUUUAUCGGAUAUCAGUUGUGCUAGAAGAUGUUCGAUGAAAUGUCUGAGAGAAAUAAUGGGUUUUUGAUGUUAAAUCCAAUCAAUCUUGCUCGUUAUCCGGAUGCGGAUGUUUUAACUUCAAGUGAUUCAGUUGUACCUACUGUUGUUGAUGACAGGUUGGACGUCUGUCACGAAGUUCUUAAUGAGUCUAUCUCCCUUCAAGCAAGACAUCGACGAGCUUCUUAAUGAGUUCGGUGAGAAUGAGUUAACAAAAUUUGCUGAAAUGAAGAAAGUUUGGUAUUCUAGAAGGUUCAGUUACAUCUUUGAUGCUAUGCCUUCCAACAAAUUGGCCCUGUUUAUGCAAUCUCUUUAUGCUCAUUCAAUUGGUUACAUGGUGAGUAGUAAUGCUCCUUUGUCUCGAAGAUUAGGCGGCUUGUAUUGCCUUUACUGUUUACAUGAAACUCAACCAUUCAAGCCACCUUUAAGAAUCUAUAUAUCUCUUGGAGAGCUAAAGAAACUUAAGCAGCUUGUGAUUGAUGCAAAAGCUCAGGGUAUAAAAGAUGUUAUCAGUUUGGUCAAUAGAAUGCUAGAAAAGAACAUGUUUCUUUUUGGCGCUGUGGACAUAAAUGAAGGCUCUACUACCCAGUUAGUGGACGAACUCACACAAUUGCAAAAUGAUCGCGUCCAGCAUGCAUAUAAAAAAUUAAUUCCUGAGACUUACCUUAAACAAUUCCUCUACAUGGACUUGGGUAGCGAAUUCGAUCUUGAUACAAUGAAGAAAAUGUCAACAGAGUAUGCAAAAACCAAGAAGCAAGCCAUCCAAGAGGCAAGUAAGGUGGUGAACAUUGAGGACAUACAGCACAUAUCAGAUGAUAAGGAAUUUAUUGGAGAUAUAAUGGAUAACAUCAGAGAGAACUGGAAUGUCCAGAAAGAGAUGUUCUAUCAGCAGACAGGAUUGUAUCAGCAUCCAGCUCAAGAACAAGACCAUCAGCAUCAGAACCAUAAAGAGAAAAAUGAGGACGGCGAUAAUGAUGAUUUUAGCCGUGAAUUAGAACUGCAACUAUAUGAAGAAGAGCCACAACUAUAGAGACAAGAGGAUGAAGAUAUAGGUGGAACUGAAAAUGCAACAUUUUCACAAUCUGCUACAAGAACAUUGACAAGUAACAACAGGAUAAUGAAGAACGUAGUCACCGAAACAAGGGAAUUAGGAAAAUGGUUUAGACUUCAAACGCACUUGACUUGAGAUAAGCCGUUGAUGGACAUAUUGGAAUAUGCUCGAUAUGAGUUAUAAUUAGGUACUUUGGAUAAAACUGGGAUUGGUUGUAGUGCAGAUUAAGGAAAUAUUAAAGAAGAACGGCAGUCGAUAGCAAUAAUGGUGCAAGAGCAACACUUGAUGCUCAUUGGUUUUAGGCCUAAAAAGCUUUCAACUAAGAUCAUCGCUCACUAUGCUGGUUUCAUCCUUAUAUCCCUCGUCCAACUUCGAUAGUUUUGCUCCUCCUUUCACUUCAUACAUUAGCCCAUCAAUGGCACCAUCGGCAUUAUACAUGGCAAUGAGUCCCAAGGGUGCAAAGCUGAACCCAAGUGCUAACACCUUAAUGGGCGUCACUGUGAAUAUGUCAUGCUCAAGGACUUUGAGUAGGGAUGCAUUAUAAGGGAGAGAAUAAGCUCAGUAGUUUGGUGACAGUAAAUAUUAUGUUGCUGCUUCAGCAAUGAGAUGGACAUCACGAUCCUUAAAGGCGCCUGUUAAUGCCUCAGAUUUUGUUUCGUGGAAUGUGUUCUUUCUUUCAACACUAUUCCAAGCUGCUCCUUGACAAUUGUAAACUCCUAAAACGCCUGUGUAUUUGUUAUUCAUAUUCCAUAUCUUCAACAAGCUGCUAAACACAAAUUUCUGGUAAGAAAAUUUACCCGCAUAUAACUUUCUAUGCUUACAUCCUGUGUUGCAUAGAAAUUUUUCAA